CCGAGGAGUCCCGCCCCAGCCUGCGUCCGCCAGUAGCUCGGUCGCUGCUCUUUUCCAGGCGGGUUAGCCCUACCAGGAGGAACCGAAGACAGAAUACUGGCUGGCUGGCCCUCCCAGCGCUCGCAGCCGCGCCAUGCUCGUCCUCCGAAGCGGCCUGACUAGAGCUCUGGCUGCGCGGACGCUCGCGCCUCAGGUGCACUCAUCUUUUGCUACGGGCCCAAGACAAUAUGAUGGAACAUUCUAUGAAUUUCGUACUUAUUACUUUAAGCCCUCAAAGAUGAAUGAGUUUCUGGAAAACCUUAAGAAAAACAUACAUCUUCGGACAGCUCACUCUGAAUUGGUUGGAUCCUGGAGUGUAGAAUUUGGAGGCACAAUGAAUAAAGUGUUUCAUAUUUGGAAGUAUGAUAAUUUUGCUCACCGAACUGAAGUUCGGAAAGCCCUGGCCAAAAAUAAAGAUUGGCAACAAUUUCUCAUUCCAAAUCUGGCUCUCAUAGAUGAACAAGAGUUUGAGAUUACUUACCUGGUGCCAUGGUGCAAAUUAGAAAAGCCUGCAAAAGAAGGAGUCUAUGAGCUGGUUAUUUUUCAGAUGAAACCAGGUGGGCCAGCUCUGUGGGGUGACGCAUUUAGAAGGGCACUUAACGCCCAUGUGGAUCUAGGCUACUCAAAACUAGUCGGAGUUUUCCACACAGAAUAUGGGGCACUCAACAGAGUUCAUGUUCUUUGGUGGAAUGAGAGUGCAGACAGUCGUGCAGCUGGGAGACAUCAGUCUCACGAGGAUCCCAGAGUUGUGGCAGCUGUUCGGGAGAGUGUCAAUUACCUCGUGUCUCAACAGAAUAUGCUUCUGCUUCCUACAUCAUUUUCACCUUUGAAAUAGUUUUCCACUGAAAGACAAAGCAUUGCAUUAACUGCUAUAAGAUGUGUCUGCUAAUGGUGCUUAAAUUCUCCCAAGAGAUUCUUUUAUUUGGAAGAUGUGUUGGAUGCAACUGACCACCUUCGCCUUCCUGAAACACUGGAUUCUGAGCUUCGAUAUAUGGCAUCAUACUCAGAUUUUCCUCCUCACUGGCCAGUCCCUGUUCCUUUGCUGGCUUCUCUCUAAAUAUGGGAAGGAUGUCAGAGCACAGGAAUAUUUUCUGUCUUCAUUUUCUUUAUAGGUCAGUCCCAAGGCUUAAAUACCAUACAUGUGCUGUGCUGAUGUUUCACACAUUUUUACCUUCUUUCCCAUCAUUGUUCCUGAGCACCAGACUGAAAUAGCAGCCAUACUUUAACACAACCACCUACUUAGUUUGGGUCACAAACCUUAAUAGCUCUCUCUCCCUCAACCCCCACAUGGAUCUUGUCAACAGUGCCUUUGGCUCUGUCAGUAAGAGAUCCUGAACAUUCGUAUUCCUCCCAAUAUCGCUUUGCCUCCCUACUGUCCUUUCUCCCCAUACAACCACCUUUUUUUCUGAACAGCGAUUAGAUCAAACCAUUACCUUGUUUAAAACUCUCCAGUGGCUUCUCAUUGCACUAACAAUAAAAUCCAGAUACCUUACCAUGGCCUGCUAGGCCCUAUAGGUUCUGGUUUCUGCCCCUUCUACCAGUCCGGAGACAUUGGAAUUCUCUCCCUCCUUCCCCAACUUGCCAAGUUUUUUCCCACCUGGGACCUUUGUCACCAGGUGUUCCUUCUUCCAGGAAGGUUCUCUCUGCCCACCUUCAAAUGUUGGCUCCUGCUUAUUUUAUGAGAUAUGAGCUUAAAUGUCACUCUUCAGAUGGCUGCCUCUCCAUCGUUAUCUCAUUGCCAUGGCUUAUUUUCUUCUUAGCACUUACUAUGGUCUGAAUUUAUUGUAUUUGUCUACAUAUCCAUCGUGAAUGCGAAUAUAAUUUCUCCACUGAAAUUUUAGUUCAUUAGAGCAGGAACUCUGUCUUCAACAUUGCAUCCCCAGAACCUAGAAAGGUAUAUGGUGCACAACAGAGUUUAAUAAAUAUUUGUUAAAUUACGAUUCCAGACUAAUUUUAUGAGGGCAAUCUUAACUGAUACACCACCUCACCAGAAAGAACUCUCUGCCAUUUCGAUAGUGGUCUAAACAAGUUAUUUAUCCACUGAGCCACACAAUUUCCCCAUAUAUCAAAUGGUAUUGCUUACCCCAUAGGGCAGACAGGUAAUUGAGGAUUAUAUUAAGUGUCUGACAACACAGUAAAACACUAGAAAAAGCUAAUUUUCUUAUACUUUUUCAUAUGUAAUAUAUGCAUUAACAUUUUAAAGGUUCCGAGGUUUUUUUGAACCUUCAAGUAUUUAUUUAGGCUUUUCUCUAUAUAGAAGAUUUUCCUCAAGACCCACGGGUAACUUACAUUAUCUAAGUUACUUGCCUUUUCGUUUUUCAGUAGUUUUCUUCUCUCCCUCAGUGGUCAUUUUCCACAAAGAAACUGUUUUCUAGCAUUUCACUUAAGUUGUGGUAAUGUGAACAUUAAGAGGGAAAGACAGAGCUGUGACGCAGAGGUUGAGUGGUCUAGAAGGCUCCGUCACAAACCGACCAAAACCCUCCUCUGCACACAGCCAGAUGUGCACCUUAGCAAAGGACCGCUCACUACCCGUUGUCCCGGCCAUUCUGAGGAGGUCCCACAUAGGGCCAUGACUCCACCGUGCAGCCUACCAGCGGGUGUUUGACAGACGUUCUUCACGUUAGAUAAGCAGACUUUUCUGAGAUUUUGCUAGUGAGCUAUUAAAACUAUAUCCAUGUGUGUCAUCAGAGCCUACAUAACCUUGGCUUGGCGAUUGCACAGCACUUCUUACAGAAGGAAGGCACCUCUGAUGUUCCUCUACUGUUUCCACUUUUCUGCACACUCCCCCAGGCCACAUGCCCAGGACAAUUGCCAUGCUCUGUCCUUGUAUUUUCAGUUGAAUCCGCAAAGGACAACUGAAGGCAGCCAUUGUAGCUUCUAUACCAAAUAAAGCAGUGAGACUUUUAUUAAACAGGUUUAGCUACACAGUGUUUUCAGACAUCUCUAUAGCUUCGAAAUCAUUAAGCUUUUAUCUAAAACCUCUUAAACUUAAUAUUUACUAUCUUAACCAAAUUAUGAAAGUGCAAACACCCUUUAUUUCCAAGUAGUCCUCUCACCCCUCUUUCCAACAGGACAUUUAGCCUGUUAUACUCCAGGCAGACAUUUCUUACUCUCCUGAUGGCUUUAUAAGCAUUAACAGUAGGUGGUGCUACAGAUGCAUGGAAAUAAAUUUGCAUAGACCAGCAGAACUGCCACAGCUUUAUUUCGUGACUCAUUACAACAUAGAAAUAUGUUUUUUUAAUACUUCAUAUAAAGUUAUUGACAUACAAAAUUUUUUUCUUUUUUUUCCUUUUAAUGAAAAUGAUUUAACUUAGAAAUCUGUUGUGAAACUUUUGUCUAGUUUUGCAAUUCUCAGAUAUUCCAGUGCAAAAAUAGAUCCCAUUAGAGACAGCAUAAAGUGCUCGGAAUGAAGGGGCCAAUGAUAAAGAAAAAGCACAAAAAAACAUAGCUUCAUCCUAGGGUAUAAGAAGAGAGAAAACUUAAUCCUUAUGGAAAUAUAAACAUUCUAUAAAAGGGAUGCAACAAUUUUGAAGAGAAUUAGAGCCAUCUUACUAUAGUACUAUAUCAUGACUAGUAAAUUGUUAUAAGGGUACAAAUUAAUAUCUUCGUAUCAAAGUGGUUCAUUAUUACAUAGGACACAUGGCUCUUUGGAAGAAAAUUUACCUGAUAUAUACAACCACGAGAAGAAAACAGACAAAUCCCUUUCAUCAAUGAUUACAGUGAAUGAAGGAUGUGCAACAUAUAAUAAUCACAACACGCUUUCAGUACAGAUUGAAAUACAGUAGUUUGAGGUUUGGCUGUUUUUUAACAAUGAACUGUGCUGGAUGUUUAAUGUAUACAGGGCUUUGUUACUGUUUUCUUUUGUAUUUUUCACAUUCACAGUUGUUAAUAAAGUUUCCAAGUUGUCCAAAAGAAGCAAAAGCAGCAAUCUUUGAACACUUUUGAGAAUUUUUGAACCUCACAUACUUACAUUUCCACAGGGAAUAAAUAGAAUUUUUACUUGAGUAGAGAAUUGGUAAAAAAUUUCUACUACGAUUAGGUUUACAAAGGAAAAUGUAAAAUACUAUCUGGAUAGUCUAAAAUGUAACCACAAAGUCAGUGUGUAACUGUAGAUUGUUCCUAGCUUCAGAAGAGAUCUUUUUUAAAUCUAUAUUGACAUUUUUUUGUUUGUUUUUUCACAACAGUUCACAGUGUCUUUUGAUUUUUUUUCAAUGUGACCUUGAAGUCAGAGUAAUUAAAGCCAAGAGCUAGCUAUUCACUGAUUUAAUAGAGAAUUAGAACAUGAUAAUAGUGAGCUGGGAAAACUAACAAAAGUUUGAUUUUUAAAAAUAUUAAACAGUGAGAAAAUAAAUUACUCUAUGAAUCUUAUUAGAGAUAGCACAAAAUAUAAUCACCUCAUCAUGCCAAUGGUUACUGGAACUAGGCCUUCAUUACCUGUUUAUCAUUUUAGAAAACAAUGACAUUAAUUUCUAAGUCAUUUUCUUUUUCCAAACAAGUUAUGUGAUAACUUUCUAUAAAUUUAAAAAAAUAUAGAUUUGAAAUAGAUCUGAAAUCUUAACACCUUUAGAGUUAAUAUUUAAAUCUUAGAAAAAGAAGAAAUCAGAAAUAACAUAACAGCUUGAACUUCACCCAACAGUACUUCCCUCAUAUUUUUGUUGUCUUAAGGCAGAUCACAUUAGGCAUUAGUGAAAUAAUGUUUUUUAAAAUGUUUACUGACUAAAAAAAAGACUGGGUUGGAAAUGUCUGAAAUAUAUUCCAUGUGUGGGCAUUUGCUGUUUUUAUUUUUUUCAUAACAGAUUCAGGAUUGAGGAGGUGAAAAUUUUGAGAUUGUCAGAAUGGGGUGUCUAAGAUCUUCAAAUCCAAUUAUUUGAAGGUACUAAAUGCCUUAAGCACAAGUUGUGUUACUCAAGUUUUGAA